rnacentral:rRNA from 1 species
GAUGAACGCUGGCGGCGUGCCUAAUACAUGCAAGUCGAGCGAACAGACGAGGAGCUUGCUCCUCUGACGUUAGCGGCGGACGUGUGAGUAACACGUGGAUAACCUACCUAUAAGACUGGGAUAACUUCGGGAAACCGGAGCUAAUACCGGAUAAUAUAUUGAACCGCAUGGUUCAAUAGUGAAAGACGGUUUUGCUGUCACUUAUAGAUGGAUCCGCGCCGCAUUAGCUAGUUGGUAAGGUAAAGGCUUACCAAGGCAACGAUGCGUAGCCGACCUGAGAGGGUGAUCGGCCACACUGGAACUGAGACACGGUCCAGACUCCUACGGGAGGCAGCAGUAGGGAAUCUUCCGCAAUGGGCGAAAGCUUGACGGAGCAACGCCGAGUGAGUGAUGAAGGUCUUCGGAUCGUAAAACUCUGUUAUUAGGGAAGAACAAAUGUGUAAGUAACUAUGCACGUCUUGACGGUACCUAAUCAGAAAGCAACGGCUAACUACGUG